UCUAUACGGUGAAACUGCGAAUGGCUCAUUAAAUCAGUUAUCGUUUAUUUGAYAGAACCUUACUACAUGGAUAACCGUGGUAAUUCUAGAGCUAAUACAUGCUAAAAACCUCGACUUCGGAAGGGGUGUAUUUAUUAGAUAAAAAACCAAUGCCCUUCGGGGCUCCUUGGUGAUUCAUAAUAACUCAACGAAUCGCAUGGCCUUGCGCCGGCGAUGGUUCAUUCAAAUUUCUGCCCUAUCAACUUUCGAUGGUAGGAUAGUGGCCUACCAUGGUUUUAACGGGUAACGGGGAAUUAGGGUUCUAUUCCGGAGAGGGAGCCUGAGAAACGGCUACCACAUCCAAGGAAGGCAGCAGGCGCGCAAAUUACCCAAUCCCAACACGGGGAGGUAGUGACAAUAAAUACUGAUGUGGAGCUCUUUAGGGUUUCACAAUUGGAAUGAGUACAAUUUAAAUCCCUUAACGAGGAACAAUUGGAGGGCAAGUCUGGUGCCAGCAGCCGCGGUAAUUCCAGCUCCAAUAGCGUAUAUUAAAGUUGUUGCAGUUAAAAAGCUCGUAGUUGAACCUUGGGCCUGGCUGACCGGUCCGCCUCACCGCGAGCACUGGUUCGGCCGGGCCUUUCCUUCUGGGGAGCCGCAUGCCCUUCACUGGGUGUGUCGGGGAACCAGGACUUUUACUUUGAAAAAAUUAGAGUGUUCAAAGCAGGCCUAUGCUCGAAUACAUUAGCAUGGAAUAAUAGAAUAGGACGUGUGGUUCUAUUUUGUUGGUUUCUAGGACCGCCGUAAUGAUA
rnacentral:rRNA from 1 species